rnacentral:sRNA from 15 species
CAAUGGUAUAGCUAGGGUUCCGACUUUGAAAAAAGUGUCUGGUCCGAGAGCUAUCGACCUCACCUGACAUUCUCAGUGAAGGUUACACGGAGGGAUAAAAGCCCGGGAGAA